CCAGACUCCUACGGGAGGCAGCAGUGGGGAAUAUUGCACAAUGGGGGAAACCCUGAUGCAGCGACGCCGCGUGAGUGAAGAAGUAUUUCGGUAUGUAAAGCUCUAUCAGCAGGGACGAAAAUGACGGUACCUGAGUAAGAAGCCCCGGCUAACUACGUGCCAGCAGCCGCGGUAAUACGUAGGGGGCAAGCGUUAUCCGGAUUUAUUGGGUGUAAAGGGAGCGUAGACGGUUAUGCAAGUCUGGAGUGAAAGGCGGGGGCCCAACCCCCGGACUGCUCUGGAAACUAUUUGACUGGAGUGCAGGAGAGGUAAGCGGAAUUCCUAGUGUAGCGGUGAAAUGCGUAGAUAUUAGGAGGAACACCAGUGGCGAAGGCGGCUUACUGGACUGUAACUGACGUUGAGGCUCGAAAGCGUGGGGAGCAAACAGGAUUAGAUACCCCCGUAGAU
rnacentral:rRNA from 1 species